UAUUAAAUUAGUAACAGCUCAAAAUGCUAAUAUUAAUAACAUAUUUCUAACUAAAUGGAUAUGUAUAAGCAAUUACUUUACUUCAAAAUAAAUUGAACUUCAUUGUUUUAAGAAAACGGAUCAAUAAAAGUAAAUAAAAGCAGAGAGAACAAAUAAUGACGUAUUAUAAUUUUUUCGUGUCCAAUGGUGCAUGGAAUUAGGCUUCGGUUUCCCACUCCCACAGUGAGCGUUCAGGCGGGAAUACAGAGAUUGCGUGCCGAGAUGCGCACGCGACGCUCCCAUCAGCCGCCCUUGACUCUCACAGACUGCAGUGUUUACAGUACAACGACACGUGAACGGCUGCGCUUUUAGGUGAUAUUUUUUGUACAGUUAUGAAUGUUGUACAUAGAAAAGCAUAAAGCUACAAUGGCUCAUACAAUAUUGUAGCGGGUCGGUUCGUUAACCUGACUGCUGGAUAGAAACACUGUGCGACAUAUGAGAGCGCGCAGACGUCGCCAGAGCAACUUACCACAAGUUGGCUGGCGCACAGGACGUGGGAGAACAGGCUUGGUGACAAGGCCAUAUCUUUAAACGAUAAGAGAGUAUGUACUGGCAGACGCAAUUACUUUAAAGAUUAUUAAAACCGGAGCUAUUUCUACAGCCAUUAGGGUUGAGUAUGAAAAACAAGUGACUAUGCGAACAGUUGAAGCCUCAGCAGAGCAUUUAACACAACAUUUAAGCACUUAAAAUGAUAAUACAAUUGAUUUUCAACUAAUAUUUCAAUCAACAAUAUUAAUUUAGAUUUUAAUAGACGAUUGUAAAAAUCGCGCCUUCCUCAUACUAGUAUGUAUAAUCUAAGGUUGUAAUAUUUUCCUGUACAUCACCGUAGUGAUGUCUAUUCAAAUAAAUAAACAUUUAUAUUCUUAUACAUUUUUGAGGUCUCCAGAUAAUGGGCUCAACAAAUAUUUAUCUUGAUUACAAGAAAUAAAACUACUUUAAAUUUGGGACGGAAGAAGACGUUUAUACUUUUUUGAAAAUAUUCAGAUAAGAUGACGGCAAUUUUAAUGAUAAUGAAUGCAUACUAUUGAAUAUUAAUGUGGAAUGACUGUGAGAACCGUGUGGUAUCUAUUUAAAUUAAAUCUUAUAUUAAAUUGAAUAAACACUGCAAUAUGUAAGCUUCGUUUAAUGAUUAGAUGUAAAAAGAAUGGCAAACAUAUGAUACAUCAGAAUUCGGAUACUGAAAUACAAUACAUAUUGCAAUUUGUAUUUAUAAUAACAUGAAACCAAUAUUAUGACUGUAUCAGAAAUAAAUAAUUACAAGACAAAUACUCAUAAUACAAACUCGUAAACAUGACUAGUUUUUAUAUUAUAAAACAAGAGAUUUCCACGAUAACUUCAUUUAAUAAUUAUAUCACGUAUGUAAGUAACUCGUAGCCUUGAGAUAUGUGGCAUAAAUUAACGGAAACGUUUGAAAAAUUUUCAACUGUGUCAGUUUGUCACGUCGUAGUCGGUUAACGACGGUUGAUGGGCGGUGCCGAGUGAGCGAUGGAAUGCGCACACGCAAUGUUCGGACAUCAGUCCACCAUCUGUAUGCAAAACACGACGCAAGUGGUUACCAAACCAACAUAUGUACGGCUCCCGAUACCUUGGCUAAUUAUUAUAUUAAUAGAUAUUCAACAUAUUCAUAUCGUUUAUGUAAAUAUGUGUCAUUUUUGGUAAGACAUCAUAAUAUCAACAUAUUGUAUAACAUGGUAUAAUAAAACGAGAAUUGCAUUUCUAUACGCACUAAA